ACUCAAAGGAAUUGACGGGGACCCGCACAAGCGGUGGAUGAUGUGGAUUAAUUCGAUGCAACGCGAAAAACCUUACCUACCCUUGACAUGUACAGAAUCCCUGAGAGAUCAGGGAGUGUUCGAAAGAAAACUGUAACACAGGUGCUGCAUGGCUGUCGUCAGCUCGUGUCGUGAGAUGUUGGGUUAAGUCCCGCAACGAGCGCAACCCUUGUCAUUAGUUGCUACGCAAGGGCACUCUAAUGAGACUGCCGGUGACAAACCGGAGGAAGGUGGGGAUGACGUCAAGUCCUCAUGGCCCUUAUGGGUAGGGCUUCACACGUCAUACAAUGGUACAUACAGAGGGUUGCCAACCCGCGAGGGGGAGCCAAUCUCAGAAAGUGUAUCGUAGUCCGGAUUGCAGUCUGCAACUCGACUGCAUGAAGUUGGAAUCGCUAGUAAUCGCGGAUCAGCAUGUCGCGGUGAAUACGUUCCCGGGUCUUGUACACACCGCCCGU
rnacentral:rRNA from 1 species